UACGUAGGGGGCAAGCGUUGUCCGGAUUCAUUGGGCGUAAAGAGCGUGUAGGCGGCCAGGUAGGUCGGUUGUGAAAACUGGAGGCUCAACCUUCAGAGGUCGACCGAAACCAUCUGGCUAGAGUCCGGGAGAGGAGAGUGGAAUUCCUGGUGUAGCGGUGAAAUGCGUAGAUAUCAGGAGGAACACCGGUGGCGAAGGCGCACAUCUGGCCCGAUACUGACGCUGAAGCGCGAAAGCUAGGGGAGCGAACGGG
rnacentral:rRNA from 1 species